UCGGCUUCUUCAUCACACUUCGUCUGUCUUUGGCUCGUUCCAGGUCUGAGAUCGUUCUCCUAGGCGGGAUAAAAACAGAAGUGAUGAGUAAAAGCAAAGGUUAAAUCACUGCUUUAAUGAUUAAAACAUUUCCUUCUAAAGUCAGUCCUCUAAGUGUCCAGUACCCUAGCCUCUGCCUGACUUUCCCUACCGUGUCUGCCCAAUUUGUUUUCCCCUCCCUAUCAAACCUGAUCCCAAGAAUUUUUUGGUCGGUAACGUUUUUUUGUUUUUAUACAUUUUUCUCUUAAUUUCAAACGUGGAUCAAACUACUUUUUGUUGCAGUAUUAUUUAGUUUGUCAUUUUAACUCCUUGCUGGGCUGUUACUAAUUUGGAGUUAAAUACAUAAAACCGGUGACUUUUGAUUUGAGGAUACAGCAUUGCAUUAUGGGAAAUAUAAAUGUGUUAUUUUUCAAGUGAAGUGGAAAUUUUCUUUAUCCUUAGUGCAAACAUGUUUUUUCUGUAUUUAAAUCCUGUAAACUUCGAUGUAUUUUUAUAGUCUCUGAUUUUGGUAAUUUCUCUCCCCUGAUAACAUGUGCAAUAUUAAUGCUGAUGGAUGUAUGUCUGUCGUCAUGCAUUUAAAAAUCUGUAAAUGCAUUUAAGGCACGAAAAUAUCGGUAAGAUAUUGAUUUUUGUUUCAAGAAGGUACUGCUGCUGGAAUGAAGAAUCGGCAGAAACACUCCUUCAUGCACUGAGGGUGCAGCAGUCUGCUGCUGAAGGAGCUGCUCAGUAUCAAUAACACAAACAUGAAUCGACAGUCUAAAUAAAUGUUAAAUAGUAGUCAAUAAAAAGCGCAAAUAGUGGUUUAGUUAGUGAUGUAGGUCUGUAAUGGCACAAUACACAUGAAUAGACAGUUUUUAUAAAUGCUAAAACUGUCAAUGAGGGCAACAGUGCAGAGAACCAAUGGUGCCACGUUAAAGGGCACUUGUAAGACCAGAACACACAGAACAACUCAGCACGUAGAACAUUAACACAUAUAUACACCAUUUACAAUAUAUACUAUUUACAACGGGCCAGACUGGUCCUUCUCAAUCCCUCCACAACGGAAGACAAAAUGUUCAAAGUUUUUAAAUUCUGUUCUCCAGUCCCUUGGAGGGUGAAAGGUUGAUCGCAGGGGAAUAUGUCUUAUUUUUUGUGUCCCUGGAUUUUGUGCCCGCACGCCUUGCAGGUCGGGAGAUGCUGCACUCUUUAGCUUAACGCCCAGUCCUGUGGGGUGGUCUGCCAGCUUCGUCUUGUAGUGUGUGGAUCAAGACCACGACGAUUGUAUCACAAGGUUCUGCCCAGGGACCGGCUAAACAGCUGGUCUGACACAGAGUUAGUCUUGGAGAUGACUGCUGGCUGCCUGGUGGUGUGCAGGUUCACCAGCCUCGCUUGCUGGCGGAUGAAGUCCCUCACUGUUUUUGUAUUUAUUUUUGGAAGAGGAAUGAAUGCCUUGCACAGGACUGGGUCAUCCACCAAGACUCGGUGCUGGAUCCUGUCGUAGGCAUUGAGGAUGCUGGUUUUCUCGGGGCUGGAGCGAGAGGGCUUAGGGGCGCGCAGCCACAGAAGCUUGACAAGCACAUACAUGAGGGGGUUGUGCUGCAUGCUGAUGUCCUGCUGUGCUGGCGCGUACCUUUUGGCCAUCUUCACUCUCUGGAUCAGGGCGGCGUCUGCAAGGUCAUCCCUCUUUGUUCGGCAGUACAAUGUGUUGCCCCAGUGUGUGCGGUACAGCUGGUGGUAUUUCUGUGGCUGCUUGUCGUGCUCCUCCACCACAUUCCAGGAUUCAAGGACCCUGUUCCUUUGCUCUGUGUUGAGGAGCAGCUUCAGGUCUGUCAAGCCGACCUCCACCAGCGCAGCACAGAAUGCCUCCAGCUUCUUAAACCCAGGCAGAGGAUUGUCACUGCAGACAUCCUCCUGUAAAACACACACACACACACACACACACACACACACACACACACACACACACACACACACACACACACACACACACACACACACACACACACACACACACACACACACACACACACACACACACACACACACACACACAGAGAGAAAAGUAGGUAAGUUCCAGUGCAUACAAUAUCUUGUUUUUUAGUGGUCACAUGUAUCACUGUAUAUUCUAUCAGACAAGUAGGUACUCUACUCACAAAUGCAGGAGGGUUGACUGUAGUGGUCUCACUGCUAGUUAGUGUUAUGUGGGGCUCAACAGCAGAUGGUCCUCGUCGCGCUGGUACUCCUUGUCUGCUUUGGCGUCUGGGUCGACCUGCCCAGGCUGAAUGACCUCAUCCUCUGGCCCGGGACCGUCGUUGACGAUGCCCUUAAGAGAGGACUCUCCCGUUCUCUGGCUGAAAAGAUAUUCGAGUCCAAGCAGCUCGUCUGACUGGACAUUGGCCGGGGCCCUGAAGUUUUCUUCCACAGUCUCACCAAAACCGCUGCUGGCAGUGGAUGUUGAGGAGCGGCCUCUGUCCUUAAACACGGCGUCCGAGCUGCGGUUGGAGUUCCACCUGGCGAGUCCACUGAGGUAGACCUCCUAAGGCUGUGCUGCACAGUGGGGACCUGAACAUCACAACAACAGAUUUUUGACAGAUUUACCUGGAGCAAUAUGGGGCAGCGACUUGUGGAACCUCUCCAGGCUGUUGCUCCCACACAGGCCCUUGUAAUAAGACGCUGACACCACUCUCGUUGAGCCCUGCUGGACCCUUGAGCUCUUCAGCGACCAGAUGGACAAGACAAAAUGUUUCCUGGACACCAAGGGUGAGACGCCGGACAUGAUGUUGCAGCUGGUCUCGGGAGAUGUAACGCCGGACCUCAUCCGUCGCCACCCCCAUUGUGGUCGGGUGUCUGGCCCUCACAGCCGUGAUGAGUAGCUGAAGGUCCUUGCGGUUAUAGGCCAGCGCAGACUUGAAGGCGGCGUACGUUGAGUGGGCCUCGGUCCGCAGAGCAGCAUCAAAGCGAUGGAUCCAGUGAAAAAUGUCCAGCCUAACCACCAUCCCGUUGUCCACCCGAGGCUGGAAGAGCAUCUCCAUAGCCGUCGGACCCUGUGCCUUGCAGCACCCCUAAUCGAUGUAGAGGAUCUUGGGUACGGGUUGAUUGGUGAGCCGUAACUGCUCCACCACGCCACAUGGGCCCAACUAUCUCCACAGACUCCUUGCAGGUGAAGACAAAGGACACAAUCUGGUAGUCCUGAACGUUUUCUGCCUCUCAGGAAGAGGUGCCGCCUGGAACUCCCCGUGGCCCAGUGCAGAGACAAUAAUAAUAAU